rnacentral:rRNA from 1 species
UACAGAGGUCUCAAGCGUUGUUCGGAUUCAUUGGGCGUAAAGGGUGCGUAGGCGGCGCGGUAAGUCGGGUGUGAAAUCUCGGAGCUUAACUCCGAAACUGCAUUCGAUACUGCCGUGCUUGAGGACUGGAGAGGAGACUGGAAUUUACGGUGUAGCGGUGAAAUGCGCAGAUAUCAGGAGGAACACCGGUGGCGAAGGCGGCGACCUGGUCCGAUACUGACGCUGAGGCGCGAAAGCGUGGGGAGCAAACAGG